GGAUUAGAUACCCUGGUAGUCCACGCCGUAAACGAUGAACACUAGAUGUUGGGGGGUUCGCCCUUCAGUGUCGUAGCUAACGCGUUAAGUGUUCCGCCUGGGGAGUACGGCCGCAAGGCUAAAACUCAAAGGAAUUGACGGGGACCCGCACAAGCGGUGGAGCAUGUGGUUUAAUUCGAUGCAACGCGAAAAACCUUACCAGUUCUUGACAUGUUAGGUUUGGGAUUUAGGAGACUAAAUCUUUCAGUUCGGCUGGACCUUUCACAGGUGUUGCAUGGCUGUCGUCAGCUCGUGUUG
rnacentral:rRNA from 1 species